GGUAAGCAGGAGGGGUUUCUGCCACCGUUGAAGCUCAAUUGCCGUUGUUGUCAUGGCCGCCGCGCCUUUGGCUGCCGGGAGCAGUAUCGUGGCCGCCAGAACCAGUCUUUCUUGGGUUGAGUCCCGGUAUUUGCGCGUCGGAAUUAAAGCUGUUGUUGGGCCACCGGAGCUUCUGGCCGCUCACGGAUCUUUUGUCGGGGCAAUUCGAAGUGGUAGCUGCUUCGCUUGUUAGUAUAGUUUGAGUUCCGGUGAUUUUGU